UAGGGAAUAUUGGGCAAUGGGCGAGAGCCUGACCCAGCCAUGCCGCGUGCAGGAUGAAGGCUUUCUGAGUCGUAAACUGCUUUUGCCAGGGAAGAAAAACAGGUGUGCGCACUUGACUGACGGUACCUGGUGAAUAAGCACCGGCUAACUCCGUGCCAGCAGCCGCGGUAAUACGGAGGGUGCAAGCGUUGUCCGGAUUUAUUGGGUUUAAAGGGUGCGUAGGCGGCCGAUUAAGUCUGGGGUGAAAUCCCACUGCUCAACAGUGGAACUGCCCUGGAAACUGGUUGGCUUGAGUACAGACGAGGGUGGCGGAAUGGAUACUGUAGCGGUGAAAUGCAUAGAUAGUAUCCAGAACACCGAUUGCGAAGGCAGCUGCCUAGACUGUAACUGACGCUGAGGCACGAAAGCGUGGGGAGCGAACA
rnacentral:rRNA from 1 species